rnacentral:rRNA from 1 species
CUGCUCAAUGAAUUUAUUUUUAAAUAGCUGCAGUAUUUUAACUGUACAAAGGUAGCAUAAUAAAUUGUCCUAUAAUUAAGGAAUUGAAUGAAUGAUUUAAUGAAAAAAUAAUUGUCUCAAUUUUAUUGUUAAAACUUAAUUUUUAAGUUAAAAAGCUUAAAUUAAAUUAAAAGACGAGAAGACCCUAUAGAAUUUUAUAAUUUUAUCAAAAUUUCAUUUUAAUUUUUUAAAUAAUGAAUUUAUAUAUAAAAUUAUUUAAUUGGGAGGAUUCUUAAAUUUAAUAAACUUUAAUUUUUACUAAAAAUAAAUUUAUUAAAAUAAAAUGAUCCAAUUUUAUUGAUUUUUAAAAAAAAUUACCUUAGGGAUAACAGCAUAAUUUUUUUAAAGAGUUCUUAUUAAUAAAAAAGUUUAUGACCUCGAUGUUGAAUUAAGAUAAAAAAUAAAAGAAAAAAUUUAUUAAUU